AUGGAGCCCCUGCACCAUUCUGCUUCUACCUACUUCUGCCCUGCUGGGGCCCUCACCCUCCGCAGCCCGAGGAGCUCCGCUCAUUCCUGCGCAGGGGCUGCCGAGAGCGGGCCUGGCUCUGGCUCCCCUCAGGGCUCGUCCUGUGGGCGGCCCCGGCCUGGCCCUGGCCUCGCUGAGCUGGGCUGGGCCGGCAACGCCAGGGCCGGCAACGGCAGAACGCGGGGCUUGAAGCUGCCAAGGCACAAACACAAACACAAACACAAACACAAACACAAACACAAACACAAACACAAACACAAACACAAACACUGCCUGAGCUCAGCCACCAGCUGCCACGGACCGACACACCGAGCUGCAGAGCAGAGACGAAUCCCGGCACCUUCACUGCGGGCACGGGCUGCAGGGCCCUCAUCCCCAGGCUCAACUGCAGCACCCACAGCACCAACAUUAACACCUCACCCCAAUCCCAACACCAGCACUGACACUCACCCACCACUCUCCCAGCACACUGCUGCCCUACCUGCCCACCGUGUCUGCAGCCAGCAGCUCCCCUGGGAAUCCUCUCACAGCCCCUUUAAAGCCUCCCCAGCCUACACCCAGAGCAGCCAGGCAGCCCCAGCCCAGGUGAAGCAGGCUUUGGGGAAAGGCCCAUUUUUGCCAAACUUUGUGGGGUUUUGAGUGAAGGGUUUGUGUGGUUGGUGGGAAAUAAACUUCACACGGGAAAGAGAUAUGAAAGUCAAUUUGUCUUCUGGGCAGGAAACCCCACUGCGCCAUGGGCCAUGGGGGCAGACAGUGCUGACAGCCCCAAAAGGGAGCUGGACAACAUUGUUCAUUACCAGAGACAUCAAGGAGUGGCUGGGAUAUCCUCUCCAACUUUGCUAAUCCAGCGAUCAUGGUUACCUGGGAGGUGGUGCCAAGACAGGCCCAGUUUGCCAUGUGUCCUAUUGCUGCCCACUGCUGCUGCUCCCCUCUGGGGAGGAGAGAGGCUGAGUGGGGCAGCUGCCAUUGUUUGGGGCCUGGUGAAAUGGCAGAACCCAGGCAGAGCGUGCAGCCUGCACAGCAGCUCCAACUGUGGGACACCCCAGGGCACGUGGGCAACAG
rnacentral:lncRNA from 12 species